rnacentral:rRNA from 1 species
GACGAACGCUGGCGGCGUGCUUAACACAUGCAAGUCGAGCGGUAAGGCCCUUUCGGGGUACACGAGCGGCGAACGGGUGAGUAACACGUGGGUGACCUGCCCUCAGCUCUGGGAUAAGCCUGGGAAACCGGGUCUAAUACCGGAUAUGACUCCAUGACGCAUGUUGUGGGGUGGAAAGCCUUGUGCGGCUGAGGAUGGGCCCGCGGCCUAUCAGCUUGUUGGUGGGGUGAGGCCUACCAAGGCGACGACGGGUAGCCGGCCUGAGAGGGCGACCGGCCACACUGGGACUGAGACACGGCCCAGACUCCUACGGGAGGC